rnacentral:rRNA from 1 species
UAGGGANUCUUCGGCAAUGGGGGCAACCCUGACCGAGCAACGCCGCGUGAGUGAAGAAGGUUUUCGGAUCGUAAAGCUCUGUUGUAAGUCAAGAACGAGUGUGAGAGUGGAAAGUUCACACUGUGACGGUAGCUUACCAGAAAGGGACGGCUAACUACGUGCCAGCAGCCGCGGUAAUACGUAGGUCCCGAGCGUUGUCCGGAUUUAUUGGGCGUAAAGCGAGCGCAGGCGGUUUGAUAAGUCUGAAGUUAAAGGCUGUGGCUCAACCAUAGUUCGCUUUGGAAACUGUCAAACUUGAGUGCAGAAGGGGAGAGUGGAAUUCCAUGUGUAGCGGUGAAAUGCGUAGAUAUAUGGAGGAACACCGGUGGCGAAAGCGGCUCUCUGGUCUGUAACUGACGCUGAGGCUCGAAAGCGUGGGGAGCGAACAGGAUUAGAUACCCUGGUAGUCCACGCCGUAAACGAUGAGUGCUAGGUGUUGGAUCCUUUCCGGGAUUCAGUGCCGCAGCUAACGCAUUAAGCACUCCGCCUGGGGAGUACGACCGCAAGGUUG